rnacentral:rRNA from 1 species
GACGAACGCUGGCGGCGUGCUUAACACAUGCAAGUCGAACGGAAAGGCCCUGCGUUUGUGGGGUGCUCGAGUGGCGAACGGGUGAGUAACACGUGAGUAACCUGCCCUUGACUUUGGGAUAACUUCAGGAAACUGGGGCUAAUACCGGAUAGGAGCUCCUGCUGCAGGGUGGGGGUGGGAAAGUUUCGGCGGUUGGGGAUGGACUCGCGGCUUAUCAGCUUGUUGGUGGGGUAGUGGCUUACCAAGGCUUUGACGGGUAGCCGGCCUGAGAGGGUGACCGGCCACAUUGGGACUGAGAUACGGCCCAGACUCCUACGGGAGGCAGCAGUGGGGAAUCUUGCACAAUGGGCGGAAGCCUGAUGCAGCAACGCCGCGUGCGUGAUGACGGCCUUCGGGUUGUAAACCGCUUUCGCCUGUGACGAAGCGUGAGUGACGGUACUGGGUAAAGAAGCACCGGCUAACUACGUG